rnacentral:tmRNA from 1 species
GGGGGUGCCGUGUUUCGAUAGCGGCUCUCUGUCAUACUGGCAUGUCGAGGCGGUUCAAGGUCUCGUAAAUCGCUUGAACAAUCAAAUAAGUGCCGACUUAUUUAACAAAGCCAAGAACGCUGUUGCCAACUUGUUUGGUACAGUGAACUUUGCACCGGCCAUGGCCUAACGGCCCAACCGGUCACUUCGUCCACCUUUGGCGGACGGGGCAUCGCACUGGUGAUACUCGGUAUCCAGAUCGCGGUGUCACUUACCGAGCGUAGGAUGCGCGCGCUGUCCGUCGCACGCGUCUGAAAGAAUUACAGACUCGUCGGGUGAGAUUUCGUUAUCUUGAUACUCACACGAUCAAAUCCUCAAGACAACUAUGCAUGUAGAGGGUAUCACACCAGUUAGCUACACGCGAGUUCAACUCUCGCCACCUCCACCA